GGUUUAGAACUCAGUGGUAGAGCAUUUGCUUACCAUGCACAAGACCCUGGGUUCAAUCCCCAGCACCA
rnacentral:tRNA from 1 species